UACAGAGGUCUCAAGCGUUUGUUCGGAUUCAUUGGGCGUAAAGGGUGCGUAGGCGGCGCGGUAAGUCGGGUGUGAAAUCUUGGAGCUUAACUCCGAAACUGCAUUCGAUACUGCCGUGCUUGAGGACUGGAGAGGAGACUGGAAAUUUACGGUGUAGCGGUGAAAAUGCGUAGAUAUCGUAAAGGAAGACCAGUGGCGAAGGCGGGGUCUCUGGGGACGGUACUGACGCUGAGACGCGAAAAAGCGUGGGGGGAGCGAAACAGGG
rnacentral:rRNA from 1 species